UUCUCAGUACAAACUAUUCUCAAUCGUAAACUUACUAUGUACUAUACGAACUUUCCCCUACGAUUAUGUCUAAAACUGCACAUAAGUUAAAUAAGAAAAAGUUUUAUUUAAGAUUAAAAAUAUAAUCGCGAUGGUAGUUUCAACUUGACGUUGUGUAAUUCUUCGCUAUAGAAGAAAAAAUUACUAAAGUAUGUAACGAUUGUUUUACAUAACCCGAUCGUAUUGUUAGCGAGAUAAUUGUUCCUCAGUACUAUUAUUUUAUACAAAUGAAAUAGUAUUAAAGGAAUUUCUAUUCAUUCAUGACGUACUAAACAGAUAAAACAUUCGGGUACACCGAUUUAUAUAAUUUUUUGUUGAUAUAAGCAGAGUGAAUAAUCUGUGCUUGAUCUUUUAUAUAGUAAACAUUUAUUAUGCUGCUAUAAAACAAUAUUUCUUAUAACAAAUGUUAUAUAAUCCUAUACAAAAUGCUUAAACAUAUUUAUUAUUUAUCAGAAUAAUAGUAAAUGAAUAUUUUGUUUAUUCAUGUUUUAUCUCUAUAUCAGAACUUAUAGAAACAGAAUAUAUACAAAUUAUUGAUCAAAAGUAAGAAAGAAGGAAUCAAAUACAAUGACGUAUGAGCAAACUUUUUUAAUUGAUAAAAAUGUUCCUUGUAUUACUGAGUUGUUUAGUAAAACUUUUCGAAUAGUGACAGAAGAAAAUUAUUCUUUACCUAGGCCAGAUUGUAUGUUUAAAGAAAAUCCGUGGUAUAUUAAAGAAUUACAGAUAUUGAAAGAACAAUUAAACGAAGUGAAAAAUCGUCUAAAUAGUUUUAAUCUGGGUGAGUGGCAUGAACAUACAAGUAAUAGAAACAAAGCAGGACAAGUUCAAUACCGUGUACGAAGAGAUAUCAAACCAGAAUUAGUGACACAAGCCUGGUGCAAAUUUUAUGAAAUAUUAAGUUUUUUUGAUGUUGUGCCACAAAAUGAAAUUAUAAAAAACAAUAAUAGUUUUACUUCUGUGCACUUAUGUGAAGCUCCUGGAGCUUUCAUAACAUCCUUAAACCAUUGGUUGAAAACAAAUACUAGAUUUAAUUGGAACUGGUUAGCUACAUCACUAAAUCCAUAUUAUGAAGGGAAUUCUUUGAAUAAAAUGAUUAAUGAUGAUCGUUUCAUUAUACAUACAUUGAAUCAUUGGUGUUUUGGCAAAGACAACACUGGAAAUCUUAUGGAUUUAAAGAAUUUAGAUGAACUUGUAAAAAAGGCAAAAGUAAAUGAUAAUAUAUUAUUGAUUACUGCUGAUGGAAGUAUAGAUUGUAUGGAUGUCCCAGGUGAACAAGAAACAGUUGUAUCUCAUUUACAUUAUUGUGAAACAGUUGCUGCAUUACACUUAUUAAAUGAAGGAGGAAGUUUUGUAAUAAAAAUAUUUACUACUUUUGAGCACAGUACCAUAUGUCUACUUUAUUUAUUAUCUUGUUGUUUCUAUAAAGUAUUUAUAACAAAACCAGCUACUAGUAAAGAAGGAAAUUCAGAAACUUAUGUUGUGUGCAUGAAUUUUAAAGGAUCAGAAUAUAUUGCACCUUAUUUACGAACAUUACAGAAAUAUUAUGAAUGUGGUCCUAGUACGGCAAUAUUUUGCAGAAAGGAUAUUCAUCCUGACUUUAUAACAAAAAUAAUAAACUGCAGUCAGUUUUUUAAAGAGAUACAAACAUCUGUCAUAAUGAACAAUGUAAUAUCUUUUAAAUCUAAUGAAGAAAUUGAAAACAAAAUCAUAAAUGAAAUAAAGAUUAUACAAAAACUUGUUGCUGAAAAAUAUUUGAAAGAUUGCAACUUAAAGCCAUUACCACCUGGCUGUGAAAUAGUGGAAAAAGAUGAAUCAAGAAAUAUAGUUUUUAUAAAAGCAGGUAGGAAACAAUUAUAUGAAUCAUAUGAUAAGCGCCGUGAAAAAGCAAACAAAUCACCAGUGCAACGUUUAAUAGAAUAUUGGGAUCUAACAAAAGAAAUCUUCAAUGGAGUAUCCAUGAGUAAAUCAUAUAAUUUUCAGUUUUCUGAUGAGCACAUAAUUCUAGAGUAUUGCAUAGGAAAACCAUUCUACAAAUUAUUUAAUUCAAGAUUUUGUAAUUCAAGAAUUUUAAAUAUACAAAUUGAUUUAGAAAAUAUUUUGGAUAUAUUGCAUCUGAAAAAGUUUUUUCCUUCUAAUGAAGAUACACACAACUUAUUACAAGAAUUACAUACAACUUUAAAUUGCAAAAUAUUGUGUUUUCAAUACACAGAUAUUCCUUGUGAUUCUAAAAUUAUUUCAAGACUUUGUCAACUAUUACAAAUGCUUGUAUAUAAAGACAGUCUUGUGUUGAUUGGUUAUUCUUUAUUAUCACGUUUAAAUGUUAGUCUUCUCUAUCUUUUGAGUUACACCUUUCAUUCAAUAGAAUUACAAUCUCAUGAUAAAGUAGGAUGCAUAAUAAUCUUGAAAAACUAUAAAAAUGAUGCAAGCAUACUUAAAAUUUGGGAGAAAAUUAAUAUUACUGAAAAUGCAUUACGGACAGAAGGAAAAACUAUAUUGUCUUUACUUCCUGUAUCAUAUUUAUGUGAUUGGGCUGCAUAUCCUAAGAUUGUGGAGUGCAAUCACUGGAUUAUUAAGAAAUAUCUUAAUUAUCUUAUAAAUAAUGCAAUGGAAAAGAUUAAUCAAUGUUAGAUAAAUUUUUAUAAAAAAAAGCACUAUAAUAGAGAUAUAAUAAAUAAUGUAUACGAAUUAAUAACUAUAAUGAAGUGUCAGACAAUAUUUAAUAAUAUACGCACAUUUUCUACUGAAAAUAUUAUACCAAAAGUAUGCAUUGUUGGUUCAGGACCAGCAGGUUUUUAUGCUGCUCAACAAUUA